rnacentral:rRNA from 1 species
UACGGGGGGGGCAAGCGUUGUUCGGAAUUACUGGGCGUAAAGGGCGCGUAGGCGGCCUUCUAAGUCGGACGUGAAAUCCCUCGGCUCAACCGAGGAACUGCGUCCGAUACUGGAGGGCUUGAAUCCGGGAGAGGGAUGUGGAAUUCCAGGUGUAGCGGUGAAAUGCGUAGAUAUCUGGAGGAACACCGGUGGCGAAGGCGGCAUCCUGGACCGGCAUUGACGCUGAGGCGCGAAAGCCAGGGGAGCAAACGGG